rnacentral:tRNA from 1 species
GGGUCCUUAGCUCAGUUGGUUAGAGCGACGGACUCAUAAUCCGUUGGUCGCAGGUUCGAGUCCUGCAGGACCCA